GAUGAACGCUAGCGGCAGGCCUAAUACAUGCAAGUCGAACGGGAUCCAGAUCAAAGCUUGCUUUAGUCUGGUGAGAGUGGCGCACGGGUGCGUAACGCGUGAGCAACCUACCCUUGUCAGGGGGAUAGCCCGGCGAAAGUCGGAUUAAUACCGCAUGACAUCAUUGAGAGGCAUCUUUCGAUGAUCAAAGAUUUAUCGGACAAGGAUGGGCNCGCGUGACAUUAGCUAGUUGGUAAGGUAACGGCUUACCAAGGCUGCGAUGUCUAGGGGCUCUGAGAGGAGAAUCCCCCACAC
rnacentral:rRNA from 1 species